AGAGCGCGCAAGUGGCGCGCGGUGUGGCGCUGACGCCUGGGAACGCAGCCGCCGCAGCUGGCUUUGGCCGCUCUAAGCUUCUCCCCAAGGACCUUCUGCAAGGCAGGCGCCCACCGUAAGCCUCCCGGGCCUUGUGAACCUGCAAACCCAAGGGCUAGAGACGAUCUGCCUUCGGCGCUUUCCGGCUUGGCAGAGGGGUUUUCCUGGCGGGGAUCUUUGGUUCGCGCUGGUGACGCGCGGGGAAGAAAGGCGAGAAGCGGCGUCCGGGCUGGUGCUGUCCCAGCGCGAGGAGGCGGGAUGCGCUCACGGGGUCCGCGGGGCGCCCGGUCCCCGCCAGCGUCGCGCGCCCACCCCGGGGGACGGGAAUGCGGCCGCUUGGGGAAUCCCCCCCCCCGCCCCGCGGCCUCAGCGAGUCUGGAGCGCAGAGAACAGGGGUUGGCGGCGAACUGGCCUCGGAUGGAAAGUGGGGAAUGGGGUGGGGGGCUGCGGACCCCUUAACGUGGAUUACUUGGUGUGUAUCAGCUGGGCUCAGAAGACUCAUGGCCUCCUCUCCGUCCGUGGACUGACUCGUUCUACUUAACAGCUGAGGCGCCAAGCUGGAGGUGGAAUCAGAGAUUUCUGGCUGACUUGGUGGGUGCUUUGAACCAGGAAAGGACAAGAAAGAGGAUGGGAAGGAGGACCGAUCAAGGGCUGCUCUCCCUCAUCCACAUUCCCACCAGGAAGCUUAGAGGAACCCACGCAUGCCACCUGGACCCCCUGGAAGGACCUGGCUAAGGCUAGACCAUCUCUUGAGAGGCAAGAGCUCCAGAUUUGAUUAAGAAUUCUUGGCUGGGCGUGGUGCCUCAUGCCUGUAAUCUCAACACUUUGAGAGGCCAAAGUGGGAGGAUCGCUUGAGCCGAGGAGUUCAAGACCAGCCUGGGCAAUAGAGGGUGACCCCCAUCUCAAAAAAAAAAAAAAAAAAGUAAUAUAAUAAAAAAUUAGCAGGGCAUGGUGGCAUGUGCCUGUAGUCCCAGCUACCCAAGAGGCUGAGGCAAGAGGAUGGCUGAUGCCUGGGAAGUCAAGGCCGCAAUGAACUAUGAUCACCCCACUGCACUCCAGCCUGGGCGACAGAAUGAGACCCUGUCUCAAAAAAAAAAAGAAAAAAAAAAAAUUCUUAUUUUGGAGCAUAAAGAAACCUCUGGAUUUGAGGAGCCGUUUGGGUAGAAAGCAAAGACCCUGACACUGAGAAACAGUCUGACCUGAAGGAGCAGAGGGAUGCAAUCCUGGAGGUGAUCUACAGUCGGAGAAGACUCAUCAUGCCAGACCUCGUCCUUCUUCCUUGCAGAAAAUGUUUCCUCUGCUGCUACUGCUCAUGAGACUCUUCCCCCACCCCAUCCCAGGCAACCAAAGGGCUUUCUGCUACACCCUUUCUUGCCCCCUGCCUCCCACGUCUGCUGUGCCUUUGUACUUAGCAAUUCUUCUUGUUUGCUCCAUUAUCUUCCAGCCGGAUACAGAGUGAAUAGUUAACCACACUUAGGUCAAAUGGGAUCUUAAUCUUUGUUCCUGCUCCAUCUAAAGAGGCUGGUGUUCUGUGCAUUGCAAGCAGGCUUGGAAUAGUGCCUCUUCUCAUUUGUUUGGUAUCUGGCCACCAGGUUCCAGAAUGAUACACAGAUCAGUGGGAAAGUUCAUCAGACUCUCAGACCUUAGGGCUGUUGGAGAUGGCUUCAGCAGGGGAAUGGAUGGAGAAGGCUAGUGUUCUCUGUCCUCAGCUUUCUUUGCUUGGAUCACAUACAAGUGUACAUUUGGAAGGGCAAAAAGUGAACAGUGUUGUUCACUGCAGCCAUCUUCUGUGACACAGAUGUACAGUCUGCUGUGAAGACCUUCUCUCAAGUGGCAGAUGGGGGUCCAUGCCAGAUCAUGAUGCUUCAUGACAGACUAACCAGCUACCAAGGGUGGUGGCGCUUAGUGAGGACCCUCCUCCCCAGUGUGUGCUGAUGACACAUACGUACCUGACAAUAGCUUGAGUCUUCUCUGUUCCUUUUAUUCUGUAGCCAACGUACGCAUGAUUUAAAACACUUCCUAAAUAUAAGUGAUGGUUCACCCUAGUCCAGAUGCAGAGUCAAAGCUGUUUGUACUUUAUUAUUAUCUCCAAGGGGAAUAGAUGGCUUGCUUUUUGCAAAAAGAAUUAAAGCUUUUGUAUAUUGCGGUU